rnacentral:rRNA from 1 species
UGAUGAAGGCCUUCGGGUUGUAAAGCUCUUUCGCCUACGACGAUAAUGACGGUAGUAGGAGAAGAAGCCCCGGCUAACUUCGUGC